UUGCAGAUACACCCAUGGGCAUUGUGUUGAUUAGUAUGGCUGUCACGACAGCCCUAAGGGGUAGAGCUCCAGUGCUCUGGACAGGGGAUUUUCACAGAACAAGGGACUGCUUUUCCUCAGGGAGAGGGAAAUCCAAAGCCUUUGAUUUGCAGAAGGGGAGCAGGAGCUUCAAAAAGUUAAUGGCCUUUAGUCAAACACAGGCUCCAUGGUUGGAGAAAUGAAGCCUAUGAGCCCCAGCUCAGUGCAGCUACUGUGUGACGCUAGCACAGGUUUGCUGUGGCAGACACCUUCAAGAUGGCAUUGGUAAGGCUUCCCUGGCCUAGGGAGCAGCAAGCUGUGCUACAGCACUGCUGGAGGAGAAAGCAGCUGUGUAUUCCCACUGAGAGAAACCCCUGCACAGAAACCAUCUAAGUUCAGAGGAACAUAGGCCUUGCAAGAACAGCCUGGGUCUUGAAGCUUGUCCCCUGCCUCCCCAGAUGCAGCAAGCACUCUUAAAAAUCCUACAGCAAAGUGACCAGAAUCCUUGUGUUCUGUAUUCCCUGUCCAAGUGUGGGAUUCUCCUGGUCUCCUUAUGUGAGCAAAGGAAGGGCUGAUGGAUACCUCCUCAGUGUGAAACAUGUUGUAGCUGAGCAGCAAGGACAGACCUGCCUGUCACCUACAAGAGAACCUCCAGCCUUGCCUGAGCAGGACAGUGCCUCUGCUCUGCUCCCUUCCUGCCAUCUGCUGCUGAUUUCUGGAGAAGACAUCAAAGGAGGACCAAAGCAGGAUACCUGAAAAUCAAAGCCAUGUACAAAUGUGAUUGCUGGCCUUGGGGAGGGGAGUCUGAAUGACUGCUUAUCAUUCACAGAAGCUACCAGAGUUGGUGACAUCUGAAAGGAAGAGAUGAAAGCUCCAUCGCAAUUUGUUAAAUAAAAACAACCUUUAUAUCUCACUAAAUAGCUGAUAAGCAGAUGUGCAGGAUGCUACUCUACUGUUCAGUGCUUCCACAGCAAAAGGAGGACCUCAUAGGCUACAGCCUACAAAAGUUUUUCUCCUGUAACUCCAAGAAAGUUUGCUUGUAGUAUCCAUGGAAAUUCCUGUGGCAGAAGUCAAUAUUAAGGCAAAAGACCUGGCAAAGCGCCUGGAGUAAUCUGUCCAAUUGUAUGCAUUCCUAUUCUAAAAUAUUGUUAAAAU